rnacentral:rRNA from 1 species
CAGGCCUAACACAUGCAAGUCGAACGAUGCUUUCGGGCAUAGUGGCGCACGGGUGCGUAACGCGUGGGAAUCUGCCCUUGGGUUCGGGAUAACCGUUGGAAACGACGGCUAAUACCGGAUGAUGACGUAAGUCCAAAGAUUUAUCGCCCAGGGAUGAGCCCGCGUAGGAUUAGCUUGUUGGUGAGGUUACGGCUCACCAAGGCGACGAUCGAUAGCUGGUCUGAGAGGAUGGCCAGCCACAUUGGGACUGAGACACGGCCCAAACUCCUACGGGAGGCAGCAGUGGGGAAUAUUGGACAAUGGGCGCAAGCCUGAUCCAGCAAUGCCGCGUGAGUGAUGAAGGCCUUCGGGUUGUAAAGCUCUUUUACCCGNGGAUGAUAAUGACAGGAGAUAAGAGAAUCGCCCACGUCCAUCAUGAU